AGUGCUUCAGCCCAGCCAGAAGGAAUAGACUCCUGCCGCGCCAAGCGGCCCAGCAUGGGGCCCCACCCCUGGAGGCCCCCCUCGCAGCUCCAGGCGAGCAGUCCAUCACCACCCUGGAGUUCUGGACCCCCCCACCACCACCCAAAACCCAUGGCACGAGCCAGGGCCCCCACGGGAGACCACGCUCUAGGCAACCACCUGCCCAUUCUGAGGGAGGUCUAGGUCCAUCCUCGCCCAGGAGGAGGACGCCCAAGAGAAGUGGAGAUCCCAAAGAGUGAUGUAAAUAUGACCCAACCAGGCUUACCCACUGUUGAAAUUUUGGAGAGGCACAGCACUCGAGGGCAAGGACCAUCAGGGACACGGACACCCCCGGGCUCAGACGUGAUCCCCGGCUCAUGGUCUUGCCAGAGAAGCUUCCCCUUACGUUACCAAGGCCUUGGCUCCCCUCGCCAGGGAUGGGGUAGGGGACAGAAGCUCCCUUGUGCAAUGUAUGUGUCUUUUUGUGUGUGUUAGAGUGGAUAUCGUCGUGGUAAUGAGUUCAUUUGAUAAUUAAACAGCAGGAUAGAAGUCAUUGUUUUUGGAACAAAAGCAAAAGGAUGAAGGUACCCAAAAAGCAGAAAAAUUUCGACUUAUACGUUAUAAGCCUCUUUCAGGUGCAGUAGCUGGUGACUCGGCCCCUCCCACAUUCGAAUAGCCACAUGUAACCCUGCUGUGGUUUUGCGCGGUUACUGUCUCUUUAAUACCUGCUGGCUCGCGCUUAAAUGCAGCGGACGCGCACUUUCGGUGACGUGCACUUCCGGUAAUGACACACGCGUCAGAGGGAGCUGAGCUGUUUUUCCAGCAGAUCAAUUAACCAUUUAGGCGAAGCUGAAACGCCGUGGCGGAGCGCGGGGAUUUGUUUGGCUAAUCAGCUGGCCAGGUCUCUAACUCCUGGGGUUUCCAACACAGAGUUUCACACGAUGACGAGCUACAUGGAGCCCAAAGAGCGUACCACCACUCCCACAGAGCGGUAGGAGAAACUGUCCCACCUGUAUAAGGAGUUCCACUCUAUAAACUAGAAGUUCAGAACUGAUUCCUUUGGCUGGCGACCUCAGGACUAUUUAUAUUCUUCUAUGAAGGAAAAACAUCCCUCAUAAAAGGAAAGGACAUUGUAACAUAUUAUACAUUCUGUACAGAUUCUGCUGUUGUCACUGUAGAAUAUAUACACAUGGUUAUAGUU